rnacentral:rRNA from 1 species
CAGAUUGCAGGCUGCAACUCGCCUGCAUGAAGUCGGAAUUGCUAGUAAUCGCAGAUCAGCAUGCUGCGGUGAAUACGUUCCCGGGCCUUGUACACACCGCCCGUCACACCAUGGGAGUCGGUAACACCCGAAGUCGGUAGCCUAACCGUAAGGAGGGCGCCGCCGAAGGUGGGAUUGAUGACUGGGGUGAAGUCGUAACAAGGUAGC